CAAAGGCAUGGUCCUGACCUUACUAUCAGCUCUAGCCCAACUUACACAUGCAAGUAUCCGCAACCCCGUGAGUAUGCCCUCAAUCCCCCGCCCGGGGACGAGGAGCGGGCAUCAGGCACAAGUUUUAGCCCAAGACGCCUGGCCAAGCCACACCCCCAAGGGAAUUCAGCAGUGAUAAACAUUAAGCCAUAAGUGAAAACUUGACUUAGUCAGGGUUAAGAGGGCCGGUAAAACUCGUGCCAGCCACCGCGGUUAAACGAGAGGCCCUAGUUAAUAGUAUUACGGCGUAAAGGGUGGUUAAGGAGAGCAAAAAAAACAAGCACUGAGGAUGUUAAGAUGGGCCCUAAGAAGCUCCGCAUGCACAAAGGCAUGGUCCUGACCUUAAACUGGGAUUAGAUACCCCACUAUGCUUAGCUAUAAACCCAGAUGUCCAACUACAAUUAGACAUCCGCCAGGGUACUACGAGCAUCAGCUUGAAACCCAAAGGACCUGACGGUGCCUUAGACCCCCCUAGAGGAGCCUGUUCUAGAACCGAUAACCCCCGUUAAACCUCACCACUUCUAGCCACCCCAGCCUAUAUACCGCCGUCGCCAGCUUACCCUGUGAAGGCAAUAAAAGUAAGCAAAAUGGGCACAACCCAGAACGUCAGGUCGAGGUGUAGCGUACGAAGUGGGAAGAAAUGGGCUACAUUUUCUAUUAUAGAACACUACGAAUAUGUAACAUGAAAUAGUGCUUGAAGGAGGAUUUAGUAGUAAAAAGGAAACAGAGUGUCCUUUUGAACCCGGCUCUAAGGCGCGUACACACCGCCCGUCACUCUCCCCUGUCGAAAUGCAAUAAAAAUAUAUAAUAAGAAAGCACUGACAAGGGGAGGCAAGUCGUAACAUGGUAAGUGUACCGGAAGGUGCACUUGGAUUAAACU
rnacentral:ncRNA from 1 species